AUUGAACGCUGGCGGCAUGCCUUACACAUGCAAGUCGAACGGUAACAGGUUAAGCUGACGAGUGGCGAACGGGUGAGUAAUAUAUCGGAACGUGCCCAGUCGUGGGGGAUAACGUAGCGAAAGCUACGCUAAUACCGCAUACGAUCUACGGAUGAAAGCGGGGGAUCGCAGGACCUCGCGCGAUUGGAGCGGCCGAUAUCAGAUUAGGUUGUUGGUGAGGUAAAAGCUCACCAAGCCUGCGAUCUGUGGCUGGUCUGAGAGGACGACCAGCCACACUGGAACUGAGACACGGUCCAGACUCCUACGGGAGGCAGCAGUGGGGAAUUUUGGACAAUGGACGCAAGUCUGAUCCAGCAAUGCCGCGUGCAGGACGAAGGCCUUCGGGUUGUAAACUGCUUUUGUACGGAACGAAACGGUGAGCUCUAAUACAGUUUGCUAAUGACGGUACCGUAAGAAUAAGCACCGGCUAACUACGUGCCAGCAGCCGCAGUAA
rnacentral:rRNA from 1 species